UGGGGAAUCUUGCACAAUGGGGGCAACCCUGAUGCAGCGACGCCGCGUGAGCGAUGAAGCCCUUCGGGGCGUAAAGCUCUUUCGACCGGAACGAUAAUGACGGUACCGGGAGAAGAAGCUGCGGCUAACUACGUGCCAGCAGCCGCGGUAAUACGUAGGCAGCAAGCGUUGUUCGGAGUUACUGGGCGUAAAGAGUGCGUAGGCGGUUUUCUAAGUUCGGUGUGAAAUCUCCCGGCUUAACUGGGAGGGUGCGCCGAAGACUGGGAAGCUGGAGUGUGGGAAAGGCAGGCGGAAUUCAUGGUGUAGCGGUGAAAUGCGUAGAUAUCAGGAGGAACACCGGCGGUGUAGACGGCUUGCUAGACCAUAACUGACGCUGAGGCACGAAAGCGUGGGUAGCAAACA
rnacentral:rRNA from 1 species